AUUGAACGCUGGCGGCAUGCUUACACAUGCAAGUCGGACGAGUGGCGAACGGGUGAGUAACAUAUCGGAACGUACCGAGUAAUGGGGGAUAACUAAUCGAAAGAUUGCUAUACCGCAUAUUAUUCGAGCGGCCGAUAUCGGAUUAGCUAGUUGGUGGGGUAACGGCUCACCAAGGCGACGAUCCGUAGCUGGUUUGAGAGGACGACCAGCCACACUGGGACUGAGACACCGCCCAUACUCCUACGGGAGGCAGCAGUGGGGAAUUUUGGACAAGGGGGGAAACCCUGAUCCAGCCAUCCCGCGUGUGCGAUGAAGGCUUCGGGUUGUAAAGCACUUUUGGCAGGAAAGCGGUACCUGCAGAAUAAGCACCGGCUAACUACGUGCCAGCAGCCGCGGUAAUAC
rnacentral:rRNA from 1 species